UGGGGAUUGCCUAAAAGCAUGGUCCUGUAA
rnacentral:piRNA from 1 species